ensembl:lncRNA novel transcript, antisense to SGMS1
AGGGAGAAAGGCUACAUGGUACGGCCCCUCAAUACUGGAUCCAUCUUCAACAUGUGCUUGGCCAGAACCUACAUCUACCUACCCCUUGGUAGCAAAAUUUCCCAAUGCACAGACUUUUUUAAGGAGCUGAAUUAAACUUAGGUGAAUAUCCUAAACUGUCAGUUUACUGCUGAGAACAUGCUGCUUAUCAAGCCAGGCUCCCAGCAAGAGUCCAUAUCCUUGGAUUUUCAAUGACAACAAGAUAUUCCCUAUAACCCAGGAGCUACAGAGUUUCACUCUUGUUGCCCAGGUUGGAGUGCAAUGCUGCGAUCUCAGCUCACUGCAACCUCCGCCUCCUGGGUUCAAGCGAUUCUCCUGCCUCAGUCUCCCGAGUAGCUGGGAUUACAGAUACACUGAAGAGAGGUCACAGGGAGAGAGACAGGAAACCAGCGAUGGACCCCAGUAGAAGGACAGGGUGGACGAUGCUUAGGAAGAUCAUGACGACUCUGCUUUCAUUUCCCACAUCCCUAUCCCGCCAGAGGUGAAAAUCAGAGAGGACUUAGUUGGAUGCAUUCUGGACACAAACGCUCUGAAGCUAAUAAAAUUCAAUAUAAUUGGCCCAUCCAAUUAUGUUAGAAUCUAAUAAAAUGUAGUUGUAUAUAUAUAUGACAACAGAAA